AACGAACGCUGGCGGCAUGCCUAACACAUGCAAGUCGAACGAGACCUUCGGGUCUAGUGGCGCACGGGUGCGUAACGCGUGGGAACCUGCCCGUAGGUUCGGAAUAACUCCCCGAAAGGGGUGCUAAUACCGGAUAAUGUCUGCGGACCAAAGAUUUAUCGCCUUUGGAUGGGCCCGCGUUGGAUUAGCUAGUUGGUAGGGUAAAAGCCUACCAAGGCGACGAUCCAUAGCUGGUCUGAGAGGAUGAUCAGCCACACUGGGACUGAGACACGGCCCAGACUCCUACGGGAGGCAGCAGUGGGGAAUAUUGGAAAAUGGGCGAAAGCCUGAUCCAGCAAUGCCGCGUGAGUGAUGAAGGCCUUAGGGUUGUAAAGCUCUUUUACCCGGGAUGAUAAUGACAGUACCGGGAGAAUAAGCACCGGCUAACUCCGUG
rnacentral:rRNA from 1 species